UGGGGAAUAUUGCACAAUGGGCGCAAGCCUGAUGCAGCCAUGCCGCGUGUAUGAAGAAGGCCUUCGGGUUGUAAAGUACUUUCAGCGAGGAGGAAGGCGUUGUGGUUAAUAACCGCAGCGAUUGACGUUACUCGCAGAAGAAGCACCGGCUAACUCCGUGCCAGCAGCCGCGGUAAUACGGAGGGUGCAAGCGUUAAUCGGACUUAAUGGGUGUAAAGCGCACGCAGGCGGUCUGUCAAGUCGGAUGUGAAAUCCCCGGGCUCAACCUGGGAACUGCAUCCGAAACUGGCAGGCUAGAGUCUUGUAGAGGGGGGUAGAAUUCCAGGUGUAGCGGUGAAAUGCGUAGAGAUCUGGAGGAAUACCGGUGGCGAAGGUGGCCCCCUGGACAAAGACUGACGCUCAGGUGCGAAAGCGUGGGGAGCAAACA
rnacentral:rRNA from 1 species